AAGCAGGAGCUGUGAUGUUCUCCACUCACGUGAGCCUCUGUCCUCUUGUCUCUCCCACCACAGAGCCCGUGCCCCUUCCCCAGAUCCGGGCCACGGUUCCGUCCCCCACACCAGGCUGGUGCAACGUCACUGUGGAGUGUGACACCACGGGAACCAGGGAGGGCCUGACCGUGUCCUGGGAGAGCGAGGGCCUCCCCAAGGAGCUGGAGCAGAGACCAGCCCCGGGACCAGUCCCCAACCCCUGGACCCUGGCUGUGACCCUGCCCCUGAGCCAGCCCAACGCCAGCCUCACCUGUGUCAUCCGCAACCAGGUGGACCAGAAAACUGCCACCCGGGACCUUGGGGACGUCUGUGGCCACGACACAGGUCCACAUGCACAAGCCCCCACUGCCCAUGCGGGAGUCACCCAGUGCGUUGUUGUUCUUGCGCUGCUGAUUCUCGGAGCUGGACUGUGACCUUGUGUGACAGGACCUCUCAGCCUCAGCUACGUGUCAACCCCAGACGGCCCCCGCUCUGCCCCUCGUAUCUACGACAUCCAACUGCCUUUCAGACCCGCAGCCCCGGGGACGAGCCCUGGUGAAUUCCCAAUAUCCCGCCUGGACCGUCUGAACACCACCCAGCGGCCAGUCCCGUGCUGAGAGCUAUUCACGGACCCUGUGGAUUCGUAACCGUGAGCGCUGGCUGAGUGCCGCUCUGUGACUCGCACUGUUCUGACCGUUCUGCUCCCUCCUAACUCACAGGGUCCUCGUGGACUCUCUGUGAGGUGGGGAUCCUUGUGCCCACUUUACAGAUCAGUAGAAGGAGCCAGAAAGCCUACUCUCCAGGCCACAUAGCUGGGAGUCUAGGAGUCAGGGCUGAGCCCAGGGAAUGGAGCUCCAGGGCUUCUCUCUCCAACCCUCGGCUGUCCUGCAUCCCGGCAAACCUCCCUUCUGUCCUGUCCUGCUGGCCGAUGGCCUAGCCUGCUAUUGCUCAGGAAAAAGCAGAAGUUUUUACCUCCUGAUAGUUAGCUUUACUGACUGCAUUGACAGACACCUGCCUCCUCUCUCUCCUGUCCCCUUGGAGGACGCUGAGCUCUUCGGGGCUNNNNNNNNNNNNNCUCCAAGGCCCUUCUCUGGGGAUGUACUGUCUCAAGCAUUCUUCUCUCUGGCUCCUCCCCCUGACCCUGCUGGCUCCUUCCCUGCAGCCCUCACCUGGUCUCUGUGCUACCCCUGCUCCACGCCUAAGCCCUCACCUUGGCCUCACUUCACGGGGCCCCCUAGAGCACCAGGAGGUGACCCCACCUGACACCAUUGACCCCUUUUCUGCUCCAACCCCCUCUGCCCUUGCGUUCCCUGACGGACACAGUCCUGGACCCUCCGGCCCACCUGUCGCCCUCCCAGACUCCUCAGCUGUCCCCCAGGGCUGCUCUUCACUCACAGGGUGGGGCUUCCACGGGCUGGGCAGGACCCUUCCCAUCUCCUGUGUCCUCCUUUCUCUGGGACCCCUGCCCCGGGGCCUCAGUGACCAGUGACACCACUGGUGCUCAGGGAAGCCUCCCCGCCCCAUGCCUUCUGCUCAGCCCCAUCCCUGCCCUCCAGCCCCACUGGCCACAUCGCUGCCCCUAUGUCUUCCUCUGCCCUCUCCCCCUGCGGUCUCAGUGCCCACUUCCCCUUCUGUAAUACCCGGGACCUGGUGAGAAAGAGCAGGAGCUCCUCUCCCACAGGAAGGAAAGCAGAAGCAAGUAUCACCUGUGUAAUCAGGAAAUAAAUGUGCAUAUUUUGUUUGCGGGAGUCGUGGG
rnacentral:lncRNA from 1 species